UACGUAGGCAGCGAGCGUUGUUCGGAAUUACUGGGCGUAACGAGUGUGUAGGCGGUGCUCUAAGUUCGGUGUGAAAUCUCCUGGCUCAACUGGGAGGGUGCGCCGGAAACUGGAGUGCUUGAGCGUGGGAGAGGAAAGCGGAAUUCCUGGUGUAGCGGUGAAAUGCGUAGAUAUCAGGAGGAACACCUGUGGUGUAGACGGCUUUCUGGACCAUAGCUGACGCUGAGACACGAAAGCGUGGGUAGCAAACAGG
rnacentral:rRNA from 1 species